GAAAUGCGAUAAGUAAUGUGAAUUGCAGAAUUCAGUGAAUCAUCGAAUCUUUGAACGCACAUUGCGCCCGCCAGUAUUCUGGCGGGCAUGCCUGUUCGAGCGUCAUUUCCACCAUCAGGCCCCCGGGCCUGUGUUGGGGACCUGCGGCUGCCCGCAGGCCCCGAAAUUCAGUGGCGGUCGCGCCGUAGCAACCGGGCGUAGUAACUAAAACGUCUCGCUCUGGCUCGCUGGGCGCGCUCCGGCCGUAAAACACCCCCCCUUUUCGCAAAGGUUGACCUCGGAUCAGGUAGGAAUACCCGCUGAACUUAAGC
rnacentral:misc_RNA from 1 species